rnacentral:rRNA from 1 species
GAUCAUGGCUCAGGAUGAACGCUAGCUACAGGCUUAACACAUGUAAGUCGAGGGGAAACGACAUCGAAAGCUUGCUUUUGAUGGGCGUCGACCGGCGCACGGGUGAGUAACGCGUAUCCAACCUGCCCACCACUUGGGGAUAACCUUGCGAAAGUAAGACUAAUACCCAAUGAUAUCUCUAGAAGGCAUCUGAAAGAGAUUAAAGAUUUAUCGGUGAUGGAUGGGGAUGCGUCUGAUUAG